rnacentral:lncRNA from 1 species
GGUUUCCUUAUGACCAACCUUCAUUAUGCUUGAUUUUCCCUAGCAAAUGGUAUAGGGGGUCUUUAUUAUCUUGGAAGGUCUUUAACAGCAUUUAUUGCCUGAUUUUUAUUCUCAAAACGACUUAUAGUGGAAUGGUGAUGACCAACAAUACGUGCAGUUGUUACAGCGACAUCCCUGCUUCUCUUAUGCUGAUAAUCUGCCAUCUUGCUGCAGUUAAGAGUUGUCAAGGACCCAUUACAAGGUGUCAAUCACAUAACUUUAAAAACUUGGUUAUUUAAAGUGUUGAAAACAAUGAGGAUGAAAACAUCUGUUUUGCUGUUUACGGGUACAGUAGCUGCAUGUGCAGAUAAAAACUUAUCGAGUCGAUAUCUAUUGAUUAAACUCAUGUGAUACUUAAAUAAUGUUUAACUAGUUCUAUUUUACCAAAUUAU